rnacentral:rRNA from 1 species
AACGAACGCUGGCGGCAGGCCUAACACAUGCAAGUCGAGCGCCCCGCAAGGGGAGCGGCGGACGGGUGAGUAACACGUGGGAAUUUUCCUCAAGGUACGGAACAACUCAGGGAAACUUGGGCUAAUACCGUAUGAUGCAGAGAUGCCAAAGAUUUAUCGCCUUGGGAUAAGCCCGCGUCAGAUUAGGUAGUUGGUGGGGUAAUGGCCUACCAAGCCUGUGAUCUGUAGCUGGUCUGAGAGGACGAUCAGCCACAUUGGGACUGAGACACGGCCCAAACUCCUACGGGAGGCAGCAGUGGGGAAUCUUGCGCAAUGGACGAAAGUCUGACGCAGCCAUGCCGCGUGAAUGAUGAAGGUCUUAGGAUUGUAAAGUUCUUUAGCCUGUGACGAUGAUGACGGUAACAGGAGAAUAAGCCCCGGCUAACUUCGUGCCAGCAGCCGCGGU